rnacentral:rRNA from 1 species
GACGAACGCUGGCGGCGUGCUUAACACAUGCAAGUCGAACGGAAAGGCCCUGCUUUUGUGGGGUGCUCGAGUGGCGAACGGGUGAGUAACACGUGAGUAACCUGCCCUUGACUUUGUGAUAACUUCAGGAAACUGGGGCUAAUACCGGAUAGGAUCUCCUGCUGCAUGGUGGGGGUUGGAAAGUUUCGGCGGUUGGGGAUGUACUCGCGGCUUAUCAGCUUGUUGGUGGGGUAGUGGCUUACCAAGGCUUUGACGGGUAGCCGGCCUGAGAGGGUGACCGGCCACAUUGGGACUGAGAUACGGCCCAGACUCCUACGGGAGGCAGCAGUGGGGAAUAUUGCACAAUGGGCGGAAGCCUGAUGCAGCAACGCCGCGUGCGGGAUGACGGCCUUCGGGUUGUAAACCGCUUUCGCCGGUGACGAAGCGUGAGUGACGGUAAUGGGUAAAGAAGCAACGGCUAACUACGUG